UUUGUAUUCCUGUUUAUUAUUCAAAUAUAAACUGUAGAAUUGACAUUUUAUAGUUUAAAAAAAGUUACUAGCUCUGGUUCUAUAAUAGUCUUAUCCAUCUAGCAAUGUGUUAACAUUUGUUACUUAAACCAAUAUCAAGAAAGAAUCAAUUGAUAACCCCAUUUCUUUUGAUAACACUAUAUAUUGUGCACAUAAAUACAUUAUAAAUAGGCUUUCAUAAUUUAUGAACCACAUUAAAAUUUUAAAAAAUGUGCCUGCUUAUUUUAUUUUGAUAUAUGAUGCUAAGCUUACUAACAACUUGAUGAUGACUCCCACUGACAGAGAUGAGAGUGUAUUCUGAAGAUACAUUCUACUCAACUGAACAAAGUGAACUUUGGAUGUAUUCUGAAGAUACAUUCUACUCAACUGAACAAAAUGAACUUUGG